rnacentral:snoRNA from 1 species
AAUUAUAGACUCGAGUUAGUUCGGAACGCUUAAAGAGGGGGGACUCUGCGGCUUUCUAAUUUAUUAGAACCUGCAACUGGUCCCUUUGCUAUUGCAGCUUCACCUCUUUUACAUGUCUGGCUAACGAUUCAGCGCUCGAGAGGCAGAGUUUCAAGGAACUUGCGGGCUUUACGAGGCAACAGAUGCACACUUCUCCUCCAAGGUUUUUUUUGGGGUCUGAGUCGUUUGCGUUUCAAUCUGUUGUCUUUCUUCUGUGGGACAUUUCGGUGUUCUGCGGGAGGGCCGCAUAGUUGUUGCCAUGAAAUAUAUGGAUGAGACAGAAGUAGCCCCGCUGACGAGUCAUGUCCUAAGUAUUUAGAUCAAGUGGGAUGCAUGAUUUCGAAUUCUCCUUUCCAAGUGUCGCAUUCACUAAGAUGGUGACCCUCCUCAGCUUUUCGAAGAUGGGGAUGGUCCCAUUGGCGUGCUUUGAGACGGGUCAGGAUCGAGUUCAAUCAUCUUUGUUGUCGUCCCACCGCAGUAUAUUCCUAAACACUAUGAGAUGACCCUACGGGUCGAUUAUCAUUUGGGUAAAACCAUACUGCAGACAUUC